AACGAACGCUGGCGGCAUGCUUUACACAUGCAAGUCGAACGGUAACAGGGAGCUUGCUCCGCUGACGAGUGGCGAACGGGUGAGUAAUGCGUCGGAACGUGCCGAGUAGUGGGGAUAACGCAGCGAAAGUUGUGCUAAUACCGCAUACGUACUGAGGUAGAAAGUGGGGGACCUUCGGGCCUCACGCUAUUCGAGCGGCCGACGUCUGAUUAGCUAGUUGGUGAGGUAAAGGCUCACCAAGGCGACGAUCAGUAGCGGGUCUGAGAGGAUGAUCCGCCACACGGGGACUGAGACACGGCCCAGACUCCUACGGGAGGCAGCAGUGGGGAAUUUUGGACAAUGGGCGCAAGCCUGAUCCAGCCAUGCCGCGUGUCUGAAGAAGGCCUUCGGGUUGUAAAGGACUUUUGUCCGGGAGCAAAUGCUGGUGGCUAACAUCCACCGGAGCUGAGAGUACCGGAAGAAUAAGCACCGGCUAACUACGUGCCAGCCGCCGCCGUAAGAC
rnacentral:rRNA from 1 species